rnacentral:rRNA from 1 species
UACGUAGGGCGCAAGCGUUGUCCGGAAUUAUUGGGCGUAAAGAGCUCGUAGGCGGCUUGUCACGUCGGGAGUGAAAACUCGGAGCUUAACUCCGAGCCUGCUUCCGAUACGGGCAGACUAGAGGUAGGCAGGGGAGAGCGGAACUCCUGGUGUAGCGGUGGAAUGCGCAGAUAUCAGGAAGAACACCAGUGGCGAAGGCGGCUCACUGGUCCGGUACUGACGCUGAGGUGCGAAAGCGUGGGGAGCAAACAGG